UGCUUCGGUAAUUGACCUAGCGGCGGACGGGUGAGUAAUACUUAGGAAUCUGCCUAUUAAUGGGGGACAACAUCUCGAAAGGGAUGCUAAUACCGCAUACGCCCUACGGGGGAAAGCAGGGGAUCACUUGUGACCUUGCGUUAAUAGAUGAGCCUAAGUCGGAUUAGCUAGUUGGUGGGGUAAAGGCCUACCAAGGCGACGAUCUGUAGCGGGUCUGAGAGGAUGAUCCGCCACACUGGGACUGAGACACGGCCCAGACUCCUACGGGAGGCAGCAGUGGGGAAUAUUGGACAAUGGGGGGAACCCUGAUCCAGCCAUGCCGCGUGUGUGAAGAAGGCCUUAUGGUUGUAAAGCACUUUAAGCGAGGAGGAGGCUCUCUUGGUUAAUACCCAAGAUGAGUGGACGUUACUCGCAGAAUAAGCACCGGCUAACUCUGUGCCAGCAGCCGCGGUAAUACAGAGGGUGCGAGCGUUAAUCGGAUUUACUGGGCGUAAAGCGUGCGUAGGCGGCUUUUUAAGUCGGAUGUGAAAUCCCCGAGCUUAACUUGGGAAUUGCAUUCGAUACUGGGAAGCUAGAGUAUGGGAGAGGAUGGUAGAAUUCCAGGUGUAGCGGUGAAAUGCGUAGAGAUCUGGAGGAAUACCGAUGGCGAAGGCAGCCAUCUGGCCUAAUACUGACGCUGAGGUACGAAAGCAUGGGGAGCAGACAGGAUUAGAUACCCUGGUAGUCCAUGCCGUAAACGAUGUCUACUAGCCGUUGGGGCCUUUGAGGCUUUAGUGGCGCAGCUAACGCGAUAAGUACACCGCCUGGGGAGUACGGUCGCAAGACUAAAACUCAAAUGAAUUGACGGGGGCCCGCACAAGCGGUGGAGCAUGUGGUUUAAUUCGAUGCAACGCGAAGAACCUUACCUGGUCUUGACAUAGUAAGAACUUUCCAGAGAUGGAUUGGUGCCUUCGGGAACUUACAUACAGGUGCUGCAUGGCUGUCGUCAGCUC
rnacentral:rRNA from 1 species